CUGGCUCAGGAUGAACGCUAGCUACAGGCUUAACACAUGCAAGUCGAGGGGCAGCAUGUGGUUGCUUGCAACCAAUGAUGGCGACCGGCGCACGGGUGAGUAACGCGUAUCCAACCUUCCCUAUAGUAGAGGAUAGCCCGGCGAAAGUCGGAUUAAUACUCUAUGUUAUUCAAUGCGGACAUCUAAGUUGAAUCAAAGGUUUACCGCUAUAGGAUGGGGGAUGCGUCUGAUUAGAUAGUCGGCGGGGUAACGGCCCACCGAGUCGACGAUCAGUAGGGGUUCUGAGAGGAAGGUCCCCCACAUUGGAACUGAGACACGGUCCAAACUCCUACGGGAGGCAGCAGUGAGGAAUAUUGGUCAAUGGGCGAGAGCCUGAACCAGCCAAGUAGCGUGCAGGAUGACGGCCCUAUGGGUUGUAAACUGCUUUUAUACAGGGAUAAAGUGACGUACGUGUACGUUUUUGUAGGUACUGUAUGAAUAAGGACCGGCUAAUUCCGUGCCAGCCGCUGC
rnacentral:rRNA from 1 species